UGUAUGGGGUAGCUUGCUACCUGCCGGCGAGUGGCGAACGGGUGAGUAAUACAUCGGAACGUGCCCUGUAGUGGGGGAUAACUAGUCGAAAGACUAGCUAAUACCGCAUACGACCUGAGGGUGAAAGUGGGGGACCGCAAGGCCUCAUGCUAUAGGAGCGGCCGAUGUCUGAUUAGCUAGUUGGUGGGGUAAAGGCCCACCAAGGCGACGAUCAGUAGCUGGUCUGAGAGGACGAUCAGCCACACUGGGACUGAGACACGGCCCAGACUCCUACGGGAGGCAGCAGUGGG
rnacentral:rRNA from 1 species